AAAGUCGUAACAAGGUUUCCGUAGGUGAACCUGCGGAAGGAUCAUUAACGUGUGUCUGUGCGGACGGGUUAAACCCCGAACGCGCACUCCCACCCUUGUCUAUCUUACCUGUUGCUUCGGCGGGCCUGCGGGUUUAACGACCCGCUGCCGGGAAGCCCCCCUAAAAAGGGGUCUCCGGGCUCGCGUCCGCCGAAGACAAAUGAACUCCAGUCGAAGUUUGAAGUCUGAAGAAAAUUGAUAAAUAAAUCAAAACUUUCAACAACGGAUCUCUUGGUUCCG
rnacentral:misc_RNA from 1 species